GGCGGCAAGAGCGGGUCCGGGGAGAUGUGCUCUGGGGUUGGAAAAAGCGAAAAUGAAAAGAAAAAUCGUACGAGAAAGCAUGAGAUGGGGAAUCAGUGACAUCGGUAUGGCCCCUGCCUGAGCCAAUACAGGAACAGCACAAUUGAUAGUCAGCAACUGCACAGAAGAGAACACAGGCUUUGCUUCAACAUGAGCAAAGUCUCUGCGCAUCCAACCCCAAAGGUCUGACCUGCCUUGCCCAGCCGACAGCCGCUGAGGGAGUAGCUGGACUCAGCUGAG
rnacentral:lncRNA from 1 species